UCCCUGGUGGCCUAGUGGUUAGGACUCAGUGCUUCCACCUCUGUGGCCCAAGUUCAGUCCCUGGUCUGGGAA
rnacentral:tRNA from 1 species